UGAUCUUCAUCUACACCAAAAGAUAAAGUCAAAAAUACAAACGACUAAACAAAUGAUUCUGGACAGAAGGGUGUCACUUUUAAUUUGAAAUUCCCAAUCCCCAACAAACAUUGAAAACCGCUGAAAUCCGAGUCCCAUAAAUCGCCGUCCCGGGUCAGAGCUGGUACGGAAACCCGCUAUGAUACCAAAUUGUAACACCCGUCUCCUCCUCUCUCGAGAACGGCGUGUUACUAACCGAAAAAUACCAAAUUAAACCGAUUUAUAAAACCAAAUAAAAUAUCAAACCUUUUAAUCAAAUAAUUUUCAAACAAAAAGAGUUUAUAAUUUAAAACCAAAUACAUUAAAUCGAAAAGUUAAUUAAAACCAAAAUAAAAUACAAUGAUCCCAAGAUACCAAACCGUCCAGAUAUCCAACUACUCGGCAAGCUCACCUGCAAUGGGAAGAAAGAGAGAUGAGCAACAGGGGAGUCACCCAGUGAGGUAUGGGAUGCUAAACCGCAAACCACUGACUCAGUACAUAGCACUACGACUAUGUAAGCAUAGCUCUAGCAUGAAACAAACACGGUGUCUAAUACACCACAUAAAACAUCAAAUGCGCUGAUAGUGCAUAACUAGAUCAUACACCCCGCAUUCUCCUCAUACGGAUAUAAAUAUACAACUCUAUGCGCCGCUAGUACAAGAGUCCGUCCUUGUAUCCCGCAAUCACCUAUGCGCCGCUAGUACAAACGUCUUUGUAACCCGCAAUCCUCAUACAAUGCGCCGCUAGCAUAGACGUCCAUAUGCCCUGCAAUCUCCAUACAAUGCGCCGCUAACACAAUUGUCUCUGUGUCCCGCAAUCUC
rnacentral:lncRNA from 1 species